GAAACAGUGGAGACUGUGAUGAUUUCAUGCAGGAAACACCAAAAAGCAUAGAGGCUUGCAAAGUGAAGGGCUGGGGUGGCAGUUUUAGCAAUUUUAUUUAUGAGUGGAGCCUCAGUGAAGAGGAGGAAACUGUUAUUUAGGUUUUUUCUAUAAAAUAAAUCUGAGAAAACUGUGAUAGACUAAUGAAAUAUUAGCAGUAAUACAUUGUAAACAGAUGCCAACUGCAGUUAAACUCCAGAGGAAGUGCUUGCAAAUACGUGGCUUCCUGAGGACACAACUUUCUGUUUCAUCACUAAUCCUCCAGCAUUGUUGUUUUGGUGGCGCAGGCUUCUUCCUUGAUACAUCUUCACAUCUUUUUUCAGUGCACCUCCAGACUGAUUUUUUUCAUUUUCCUGACAAAUAAAAACAACUGGACUAUCUGGAUCUGUGCUGGUGGAAGUUGGCAUAAUGGCAAAACAAACAGUACCAACAGUUUGCAUCUUAUUGGUUUUAUUCGUCACAGUCUUUGCUCAAGUGAUAGUUGGUGGGAAUUUCUACAACGACUGUCCAGGAAUUCCCUUCAUCCCUAUUUAUCUUUGUGGAGCCUUCUUUACCUUCAUUGCAUUGUGCAUAUGUGGGUCAUGCAACCUGCCUUGUUUGUCCGUGACCACCCUCUUCUUCAUUUGCUGGUAUAUUGCUGGUAAUGCAGUGAUCUACAGCUAUUAUGAACCAGACUACAGCUACUGCAACAAGACACUCUACCUUUUUGCAUUUUGGAGCACCAAUCUGACCAACGUCUUACUAUUUAUGCUUCUCUGUUGUUGCCAUGGUGAGGAUGAGGCUGAAAAUAAUAUUGAUGUUCAAGUAUAAAUACACACAGAAGGUCAAGAUUAGUGUGUAUGCUGUCUAAUGAGUGUUUUUAUGGGAAAUUAUUAAUACAGCAGCACUGAUAUUAUGAUUUAUGUGUAAAAUGCAGGAUUUAACAUGUUUAUGUUUUUGUAAAAAUGCUUUUGACAUUAGCAUUAACUUGAGCUUUUGAUUGAUUAUUAUUACAAAUACUAUUUUCAGCACUUGAUUACAUGUGUACAUAAAACAGGUUGGUUGAUGCUUUUCUGCCUCACUGAGCCACUGGCAGCUCAGUUAUUACAAACUCGAGAUUCUCAAAGGUACAAAAUGCACCAGGGAGAAUAUUUAUUUCAUAGAAUGCUGCAGCUGAAAAAAGUUUAUUCUUCAGUGGAAUUGUUAGUUAACUCCAGUGCUGUGCAAAAGUCUUUAGCCGCCCCUCAUUUCGGUUUAGUUUGUUCAGAAAACGGGAGGUGCCGAGUUUUUUGAAACCUGUGAAAAGACAUUCAUGGAAAUACAGUGUACACUGAAAGGAACAGGUCCAAGGAAGGAACAGUGGUGAACCAGCGACAGGGUCAUGGCCAAGGCUUAUUGAUGCAUGUGGGGAGUGAGAGCUGGCCUGUGUGGUGCGAUGCAGCAGUCGAGCUACUGUAGCUCGAAAAACAGCAGAAAAAGUUAAUGGUGGUUCUGAUAGUUUGUUGCACGUGGGGCUUCAUAACCGUAGAUCAGUCACAACGGUCACGUGAGCAUCAGAGCUGGACCACAGAGCAAGGAAGAAGGUGGCCUGAGCUAAUGAAUUGUGUUUUCUUUUACAUCACGGGCCAGGUGCAUGUGGGGAACACCUGGCACCAAUAUGCACCAUGGGAAGAAGGCUAGCCAUCACAGGCAGUGUGCUGUUUUUAGGAAAUGUCUUGUUGGGAAACCUUGGGUCCUGUCAGCCAUGUGGAUGUUACUUUAACAAGUACCACCCAAUCAUUAUUGCAGGUCAUGUAGACGCUGUCAUGGAGACAGUCUCUUUCACUUCCUUCAGGAUAAAGCGCCCUAACACAAUGCAAAAAUGGUUCAGGGUUGGUUUAAGGUGUGGACUCCUAAUUCCCUAGAUCUCAGUCAGACCUGAAGACCUAUUGCACAAAAAAACUAAAAAAAAAAAAAACACUAAAAAAAACAACAACAAGAUAAUCUGGCUGUUUGGAAGCAAAAUAUAGAUAAAUGAGGGGGGUCUCAAGACUUUUACUUAGUGCUUUAUUAACAACAGAAGUAUAGGAUUAUUGCAGAUAGUACCUGUAUUUAGCCUGUUAAUAACAAAUAUUCAAUAAAAGCACCACAUAUCCAUAUUAGGACAAGUGAUCUUCCUUCUAUAUGUUAAUGAUUUUAUUUACUCCUCUAGUAUUUUAUAUAAAGUAAUGUUUGCUAAUAAUACAAAUCUGUUUUGUCUCAUGAAAACUAGAUAAUCUCCAACAUAUUAUACAUUUAAUAGGUUAUUGUUUGCAAAAAUGUAAAAAAAAAUGUAAAAAGUAUCUGUAUUUAACUCAAACAGAAACUAGAAAAAUGUUGACAAUGUACGUAUCCAGAUAAAUGGUAGUGUUAUCAAGAGGGUAAAAUUUGCAAUAUUUUGGAAGGUUUGAUGACUUUGUGACUUCCAAGAGGCAAAUUGAUGGUUUUAUGAAAAAAGUUUCGAAAUAUGUUGUUUUAUUUUUUAAAAUUCAGAAAUUGUCCUGAAUGUGAAUUGUUGUGAUAAUUACAUGGUGGAAUAUGUGUCCGACUUAUUUUAGGAGAUUGCAGACGUUACAAAAAGAGUUAUAUUUAGCUGUAUCAUGGUCCAAGGUAGCUCUCCCUAAUCCUCUUCUUCAUUAUAGACUUCUGAAGUUGUUUAAAUAUAACAUCGUUCAUAAUGCCCGUGUAAUGCAUAAUGUUUUGUUUUGGUUUUUUAAGUGUCACUCUCCAGAUGUCACUGGAUUCAUGUUAUCUUUAAGGUAUUCUUAAGAUGUUUGACUGAUUUAGGUUAGUUGAUGAUGUCUUUUGGGAAUCAUAUAGAUAGAUAGAUAGAUAGAUAGAUAGAUAGAUAGAUAGAUAGAUAGAUAGAUAGAUAGAUAGAUAGAUAGAUAGAUAGAUAGAUACAUAUACAUGUAUUUCAUAUAUAGUCCACAUUUACCAAUUAUUCACAAAUCAUUAUUUCACAAAUAACUGGGUCAUAUUCAUUAUCAUGUUUGAAUUUGUAUUUUAGUUGAUUUGUGUUCUCUGUAUUACUGCAGGGUCUUUAUAAUAUAAAGCUCUUUCAGGCGACUUUUGUGAUUUAGAAAUAUAUAUAUUGAAAUGAAUUGAAUUCAAUUGAAUUUAAUGUGUGAUGUCACUUUAUUUGUAACAACCCCAGCCAGACAAUGGCUAAGCUUUCUGACAUUUUUGCAUGUUUUUAUUCAUGUUCAGCCUUAAGACGCCUUCCUUUUCCUUAAUAAUAUUAUUAUUCAUCUACAGGACAGAUGAAUCAUAAUAUGCUCUAAUAAAAAUAUAUAUAUAAACAACAACA